rnacentral:rRNA from 1 species
CCUACGGGAGGCAGCAGUGGGGAAUUUUGGACAAUGGGCGCAAGCCUGAUCCAGCUAUUCCGCGUGUGGGAAGACGGCCUUCGGGUUGUAAACCACUUUUGUAGAGAACGAAAAGUCUGUUGAUAAUACCGAUAGAUGAUGACGGUACUCUAAGAAUAAGCACCGGCUAACUACGUGCCAGCAGCCGCGGUAAUAAGUAGGGUGCGAGCGUUAAUCGGAAUUACUGGGCGUAAAGGGUGUGCAGGCUGUUUUGCAAGAUGGAUGUGAAAGCCCCGGGCUUAACCUGGGAAAGCCAUACAUGACUGCAAGACUAGAGUGCGUCAGAGGGGGGUGGAAUUCCAAGUGUAGCAGUGAAAUGCGUAGAUAUUUGGAAGAACACCGAUGGCGAAGGCAGCCCCCUGGGACGCAACUGACGCUCAUACACGAAAGCGUGGGGAGCAAACAGGAUUAGAUACCCCAGUAGUC